UACGAAGGGGGCUAGCGUUGCUCGGAAUCACUGGGCGUAAAGCGCACGUAGGCGGAUUGCUAAGUCAGGGGUGAAAUCCUGGAGCUCAACUCCAGAACUGCCUUUGAUACUGAGAGCUUGAGUCCGGGAGAGGUGAGUGGAACUGCGAGUGUAGAGGUGAAAUUCGUAGAUAUUCGCAAGAACACCAGUGGCGAAGGCGGCUCACUGGCCCGGUACUGACGCUGAGGUGCGAAAGCGUGGGGAGCAAACAGG
rnacentral:rRNA from 1 species